rnacentral:rRNA from 1 species
AUUGAACGCUGGCGGCAGGCCUAACACAUGCAAGUCGAGCGGUAGCACAAGAGAGCUUGCUCUCUGGGUGACGAGCGGCGGACGGGUGAGUAAUGUCUGGGAAACUGCCUGAUGGCGGGGGAUAACUAGUGGAAACGGUAGCUAAUACCGCGUAACGUCGCAAGACCAAAGUGAGGGACCUUCGGGCCUCACGCCAUCAGAUGUGCCCAGGUGGGAUUAGCUGGUAGGUGGGGUAACGGCUCACCUAGGCGACGAUCCCUAGCUGGUCUGAGAGGAUGACCAGCCACACUGGAACUGAGACACGGUCCAGACUCCUACGGGAGGCAGCAGUGGGGAAUAUUGCACAAUGGGCGCAAGCCUGAUGCAGCCAUGCCGCGUGUGUGAAGAAGGCCUUCGGGUUGUAAAGCACUUUCAGCGAGGAGGAAGGGUAAUGUGUUAAUAAGACAUUGCAUUGACGUUACUCGCAGAAGAAGCACCGGCUAACUCCGUGC